AGUUACAGUAUAUCUGGCGUGGACAUUAAAGUGCUGGAUCGUCUCACAGUAAUGAACUCUUUCCUUCUUCUCAUCACAAUCAAAGUUAGCAGUGACUGAUAGUCCAUUUAAAACCAGUUCCUGUUUUAUGUUAAGCAUGGCAUUUAAUGGGAUAAUAACAUGCCAUAGUUUUCUCGUAAGCAAGUUUUCCAUCACACUACACAAACUCAGCCUUUCUGAGUGAUCUGCAGCCACCUGUUUCUAUUAUCACUCAUUUUCUGAUCUGAAUGGGUGGGGAUGUUAAGUUAAUGUGAUAUACCCAAAUCCAAAAGAUCUUCAUCCUAAUUCAAAUGAUAAUGAAAUUCAAUAAGUGGAAUUUGGAGUUAAUCCUGAUUAAUGCUAUUUGAUUUAAUAGGAAUCGUUAACGAACUCACAAUUCUGAUUGUUUCAAAAUGAUGCCAUUUGUUAUCAGAAGGAAAUGUGAUGUGCUUGUUGAUGUGGUUUCAGCCCUUGAUAUUCAAGUACCAGGUGUUGCUGCUGUUGCAGCAUCAGGAUUUAGGAUCUUUGGAAAGGUAUGAAAUUUUACUCUGAAUUCUGGUUCACCCAAAAUGAAAAAAGAGUUUCUGUCUAAGUCUAUUUGAACAGUGUGAUUAUGUCCCAGAAGACUGAUGCUUUUAUGUGCUUCUGUUUCUUUUGAUAUAGUUUGAUGCAUUUACCAGAUAUUGACAUAAAAAAGCUGGAGCAUCUGAAGGUAAUUAUCAGUGUUUUUAACUGUACGUCACAGUAAUUUCUGUAUUGAGGAGAUGGAUGUGCUUCUGCUUCUACCCUCAUAACUUUGAUUGGUUUAUCCCAGAAAAUUUUCCAAAUGGAUUUGUCUCAUGAGCUUAUGUUCAUGAACCCAUUUGUAUUAGUUAGGUUGAAAAAAAUAUUUUGUUGGCAUUUGGUUAUUUGAACUCACUUCAGCUUAUUUCAUUUGGGAGCAGAGUGUUUUCCAUUAUCAGCAUUUCUUUUGUAUGAGUGGGCUUUUUUUGUGGUUUUAGCCUCCUGUCCCUGAGCACGAGUUGUGGGCUUUGCUAAAGGGUCCAGAGAAGAAGCCUGCUAAAGGGUAUGAGAUCAUUUUUGUGGUAAAAUAGACAUCCUGUACGACGGAUGGAGUACUCUGCAGUGAUCUCUAAUAUCCUGUGUCUGUUGCAGUGGUUUGAGUGUACCUGACUUGAAUAUCAAACAACUGGAGUGUUUAACGGUAAUCAAUACUUUUCUUCAUUUCUUUAUUUUAGCAAACACUCAGUGACAGUUGGAAAAAAUAGCUUCUGCUUUCAAAAUAUGUAACUUUUGUUUUUCAAGCAUGUUUCUUUUUUAUUCAGUUGCCACAAAUUAAAUUAAAUGCUAAAAUAUUUUUUUUGAUUAAAUGGGACCUUUAAUUGAUUCAUAGUGUUUGUUGUUAUAUUUGAAUGAAGUUCAGUCUAAUCGAAACUGAUCCGAAAUGAUUUGCAUCUUUAUAGCUAUAGCUAAUAGUAUGGUACAGUAAUAGUUUUUCACCUUUUCUGUAUAUAUAUCUUUUUAGAUUGGUAUUCACACUAGUAGAUUAAUGUCUCCACAUGUCUGUUCAUGUGGUUUCAGCCUCUGAUAUUGAAGUACCAGCUGUGGCUGUGGUUGAGGCAUCAAAAAUUGG